GAUGAACGCUGGCGGCGUGCCUAAUACAUGCAAGUCGAGCGGACGGACGAGAAUCUUGCUUCUCUGAUGUUAGCGGCGGACGGGUGAGUCACACGUGGAUAACCUCCCUAUAAUACUGGGAUAACUUCGGGAAACCGGAGCUAAUACCGGAUAAUAUUUUGAACCGCAUGGUUCAAAAGUGAAAGACGGUCUUUCUGUCACUUCUAGAUGGAUCCGCGCUGCAUUAGCUGGUUGGUAAGGUAACGGCUUACCAAGGGAACGAUGCAUAGCCGACCUGAGAGAGGGAUCGGCCACAUUGGAACGGAGACACGGUCCAGACUCCUAAGGGAGGCAGCAGUAGGGAAUCUGACGCAAUGGGCGAAAGCCUGACGGAGCAAGCCCGCGUGAGUGAUGAAGGCCUUCGGAGCGUAAAGCUCUGUUAUGAGGGAAGAACAUAUGUGGAAGUAACUGUGCACAUCUUGACGGUACCGAAUCAGAAAGCACCGGCUAACUACGUG
rnacentral:rRNA from 1 species